rnacentral:rRNA from 1 species
GACGAACGCUGGCGGCAUGCCUAACACAUGCAAGUCGAACGAAACCUUCGGGUCUAGUGGCGCACGGGUGCGUGACACGUGGGAACCUGCCCUUAGGUUCGGAAUAACUCCCCGAAAGGGGUGCUAAUACCGGAUGGUGUCUUCGGGCCAAAGAUUUAUCGCCUUUGGGUGGGGCCGCGUUGGAUUCGCUGGUUGGUAGGGUAAAAGCCUACCAAGGCGACGAUCCAGAGCUGGUCGGAGAGGAUGAUCAGCCACACUGGGACUGAGACACGGCCCAGACUGCUACGGGAGGCAGCAGUGGGGAAUAUUGGACACUGGGCGAAAGCCUGAUCCAGCAAUGCCGCGUGAGUGAUGAAGGCCUUAGGGUUGUAAAGCUCUUUUACCCGGGAUGAUAAUGACAGUACCGGGAGAAUAAGCGCCGGCUAACUCCGUG